UGCUUUGUUUCAUUACCUUCUUGAGUUGUGGCUCAGACACUACAACAGAGCUUUAUCAUCUCUUUCUAAAAGCUGGGAAAUGGUUAUUGUCAAUGCCAGCCGCAUUUUGGAGGCACCUGGCUGCAGGGGACCACAGCUAACUUGGUGCGGUGGCUCAGGACUGUAAUUCCAGCUACAUGGGAGGAUUGCUUGAGACCAGGACUUUGAGACCAGCCUGAACAAUAUAAUAGACUGGGAGCUCCACGAGGUCCGAGACAACCUGAAGUCUCCCAGCUCAGAAGAGACUUGCUAUGGCAAUCACUCAGUAACUAUUUGUUGAAUUGGACAUAGUAGAAGAGUGAAGAAUUUUAAACAAGUCACCAUCAGUCCAGUGGAUUCCUCAAAGCAAACCUGGAAAUCUUGGCAUGAGUUGGAUUUAAGGCAGUACAUUUUCAGCUCCUCAAAAUUUGAACAGUUUCUCAAGAGAACAACUUGAAACAGAAAGGAAGGAUGUAGAUGUGGUUGUAGAAGAUGAUGUCUAAGGCCACCAAACUGUCCACUGUGAAGAUAAACCAUGCAUGUUUAGUAGGCGGUGGCUCCCCUUCCCUGUGGGGAGUCCCACUGCUUCCCUGGCCUGGGAGUUCUCUGCCAGUAGAUGUUAUUGACAAAAUAAGCAAAGUCCCCUGAUUCAGAUAAUUAGAGUUUAUGAUAGCUCUAGAUUGCCACUGCCAUGCUAUUUAAAGUCCUGCUUUAUUGUCUGACAUGAGUUCGGCAUCUGUGAGGACUUGUCCAAUGCAAGGUACAAUCUCCACUGAAAGAUACCACCAGCACAUCUUGCCACUGUGCUGUAGCAAGCUGGGCAGUACAAUGAUGUUGGCAGGACCCUGUUUAGGUGGAGGAUGGCUACCUGGGCAUCAAUAAUAUUCUACCUUGAUUCCACAUUGAUUCCCAAACAGCUCUUCACCCACAUCUUCUAAUUAAAGCAGCAGACGGGAGUCCCAGCUAGAGAAAAGUUCUGGGAGCAGGAGAGGUGUUGGUGGCUUUAAAACCAGGGGUAAAGACUGAAUUAGGAGGUUAAGCAGGAGUAGGAUCAAAGGCUUAGAAAGUGCUUGUUUCCUUCCAUUGUUCUUAUGAGAGCUGAUAAGGGGCUUUCAGUUUUGCGGGGAGCCUUGGAAGAGAAUGAGGGAAUUUAAUCAACUAGCGGGACCUUUCCAACCUACAUUUCCCAGUGUUUGUUGGGUGAUACGUUUGCCUAAUAAGUUAAAGCUUCCAAAAAUAGAAAGGAAAGCUUGGUGACACUAAGCUCUGGCAUGCUGUCAUCUUCUGGCUAGGGGUCUUGUGCUUCUGUUUUUCUAUUUCUGACCAAGGACAUAAAAUGUGUUGUGACCUCUCAGAUAGUGCUAUGGCAUCAUGUCCAAGCAGCAACUAACCGGAGUGGAGUUUUCAUAGGUAAAAAAGUAUUGAAUAGCUCAGCCACAGGGAGGAUUUCACGAUAAAUUGCUUUUUCAGAAAAUGACAAAGGGGCAGACACUUGCGGUUCUUCCAUU